UUUCAACUUGAGAGUUUGAUCCUGGCUCAGAACGAACGCUGGCGGCAGGCCUAACACAUGCAAGUCGAGCGAGGACUUCGGUCCUAGCGGCGGACGGGUGAGUAACGCGUGGGAACGUACCCUUUGCUGCGGAAUAGCCCCGGGAA
rnacentral:rRNA from 1 species